AGCCUGUGGCCAGGAUUCUGCCUUGAUCACCGGGCGCUUUCAUCGCUUCACUUGGACGGAAAACUCAGUCAGCACCUAACAUAGGCUUAUCGAAUGAAUGAACGGAUGUGAUCGUAGUGACACAGACUCAAGAUGGUGACCCGCAUUGAGGAAAUACUGCUUUACGUGGUUUUCAAAGCGCAGCCUGGUGUUGGAAGCUGGUCCUGCCUCACGGUACAAUUAGAAAAAUUCUUCAUGAAGAAAGAGGCAGCAACCUCUUCGCCUGAAGACAGAUCGACCCCCAAUCUGACUUCCCCAGCCUUCCGGGAUGGUCACCUGCUUUUAUCUUUGUCUUUAAAAUGGUUUUCUUUCCCAAGAGAGAUCAUCCCCAAUUCUUCCCCUCUGAUGUAUCUGAUGUAGGACUUAUCCUGUAAAUAAUGACUUUAAAUAGUAAUUUACAGUUAAACCGAGCUGUUUACUGUUUAAAAACCCUCCUGCCAAUUUCCCUUAGCAACUGG